CAGACUAAGGUAUUUCUUCUAUAGGAUGUAAGACAAUGCUAAAUUUCAGGAUGUCUUGCCCAUUCCGAUUUUAAGGAUAUUCUUUUCCAGACGUAUGCAAAAGCUUAUCUUUCCAUUGUCAGAAUAACGUAAUACAAGGAAGUAAUAAAUCUUAUAGUCUGUACUGUAUUUGCAUAUACCAUGGCUAAUGUAAGCAAACUAUGUAUAAAAG
rnacentral:lncRNA from 1 species